rnacentral:rRNA from 1 species
CGGUGGAGCAUGUGGUUUAAUUCGAAGCAACGCGAAGAACCUACCAGGCCUUGACAUGCAGAGAACUUUCCAGAGAUGGAUUGGUGCCUUCGGGAACUCUGACACAGGUGCUGCAUGGCUGUCGUCAGCUCGUGUCGUGAGAUGUUGGGUUAAGUCCCGUAACGAGCGCAACCCUUGUCCUUAGUUACCAGCACGUUAUGGUGGGCACUCUAAGGAGACUGCCGGUGACAACCGGAGGAAGUGGGAUGACGUCAAGUCAUCAUGGCCCUUACGGCCUGGGCUACACACGUGCUACAAUGGUCGGUACAAAGGGUUGCCAAGCCGCGAGGUGGAGCUAAUCCCAUAAAACCGAUCGUAGUCCGGAUCGCAGUCUGCAACUCGACUGCGUGAAGUCGGAAUCGCUAGUAAUCGUGAAUCAGAAUGUCACGGUGAAUACGUUCCCGGGCCUU